GGCCAGUGAUGUUUUGAGAAUUGUCCGUACCAUCUGAGGUUUCUCUUGCAGAUGUCUUUGAUGUGAAUCGUUCUCUGCCUUCUGAGGUCG